GUAAGGAAUCUUGCGCAAUGGGCGAAAGCCUGACGCAGCGACGCCGUGUGAGGGAUGAAGGCCUUCGGGUCGUAAACCUCUUUUCUGGGGGAAGAGCAAGGACGGUACCCCAGGAAUAAGUCUCGGCUAACUACGUGCCAGCAGCCGCGGUAAAACGUAGGAGGCGAGCGUUAUCCGGAUUCACUGGGCGUAAAGGGCAUGUAGGCGGCGCCUUAAGUGGGGCGUGAAAUCUCCCGGCUCAACUGGGAGGGGUCGCUUCAUACUGGGGCGCUUGAGGGCGGGAGAGGGAGGUGGAAUUCCCGGUGUAGCGGUGGAAUGCGUAGAUAUCGGGAGGAACACCAGUGGCGAAGGCGGCCUCCUGGCCCGCCCCUGACGCUGAAAUGCGAAAGCGUGGGGAGCGAACAGG
rnacentral:rRNA from 1 species